AAGUCGUAACAAGGUUUCCGUAGGUGAACCUGCGGAAGGAUCAUUACCUGGCCUAGGCCGCUGCUUGUCGGCGUGCCGCUCGUGCCUCUUACCUUGACUAUGCGCACCUUUGUUGUUCCCUCGGCAGUUCGCUGCCGCCAGGGACCCCUUAAACCCUCAUGUAAUACAGUACACUUCUGAAAACAAACCUAAUAUUUACAACUUUCAACAAUGGAUCUCUUGGUUCUGG
rnacentral:misc_RNA from 1 species